UGAGGGAAUAUUGGGGUCAAUGGGGCGGAAGCCUGAACCAGCCAAGUAGCGUGAGGGAUGACUGCCCUAUGGGUUGUAAACCUCUUUUAUAAGGGAAUAAAAUACGGGACGUGUCCUGUUUUGCAUGUACCUUAUGAAUAAGGACCGGCUAAUUCCGUGCCAGCAGCCGCGGUAAUACGGGGGGAUGCGAGCGUUAUCCGGAUUUAUUGGGUUUAAAGGGUGCGUAGGCGGAAGUGCAAGUCAGCGGUGAAAUCCCCGCGCUCAACGCGGGAGUUGCCGUUGAUACUGUACAUCUGGAAUGCUCUUGCCGUGGGAGGAAUGAGUAGUGUAGCGGUGAAAUGCAUAGAUAUUACUCAGAACACCGAUUGCGAAGGCAUCUCACGAAGGGCGAUUGACGCUGAGGCACGAAAGCGUGGGUAUCGAACAGGAUUAGAUACCCUGGUAGU
rnacentral:rRNA from 1 species